rnacentral:rRNA from 1 species
AAACUUAAAGGAAUUGACGGGGCCCGCACAAGCGGUGGAGCAUGUGGUUAAUUCGAAGCAACGCGAAGAACCUUACCAGGUCUUGACAUCCCGAUGCUAUUUCUAGAGAUAGAAAGUUACUUCGGUACAUCGGUGACAGGUGGUGCAUGGUUGUCGUCAGCUCGUGUCGUGAGAUGUUGGGUUAAGUCCCGCAACGAGCGCAACCCCUAUUGUUAGUUGCCAUCAUUCAGUUGGGCACUCUAGCGAGACUGCCGGUAAUAAACCGGAGGAAGGUGGGGAUGACGUCAAAUCAUCAUGCCCCUUAUGACCUGGGCUACACACGUGCUACAAUGGUUGGUACAACGAGUUGCGAGUCGGUGACGGCGAGCUAAUCUCUUAAAGCCAAUCUCAGUUCGGAUUGUAGGCUGCAACUCGCCUACAUGAAGUCGGAAUCGCUAGUAAUCGCGGAUUAGCACGCCGCGGUGAAUACGUUCCCGGGCCUU